rnacentral:rRNA from 1 species
AGAGUUUGAUCAUGGCUCAGAACGAACGCUGGCGGCGUGCUUAACGCAUGCAAGUCAAACGGGAAAGUCCUCUUCGGAGGGCGAGUACAGUGGCGAACGGGUGAGUAACACGUGGGCAAUCUGCCCUUUGGACCGGGAUAACUCGCCGAAAGGCGGGCUAAUACCGGAUAAGACCACGCUCCCCAUGGGGAAAGUGGGAAAAGGUGGCCUCUUCUUGAAAGCUAUCACCGGAGGAUGAGCCCGCGGCCUAUUAGCUUGUUGGUGGGGUAACGGCUCACCAAGGCGACGAUGGGUAGCCGGCCUGAGAGGGUGAACGGUCACACUGGCACUGAGACACGGGCCAGACUCCUACGGGAGGCAGCAGUGGGGAAUUUUGCGCAAUGGGGGAAACCCUGACGCAGCAACGCCGCGUGAGUGAUGAAGGCCUUCGGGUCGUAAAGCUCUUUUAGUGGGGAAGAAACAUCCUGAGACGAAUACUCUCAGGACUUGACGGUACCCACAGAAAAAGUUCCGGCUAACUACGUGCCAGCAGCCGCGGUAAUACGUAGGGAGCGAGCGUUGUUCGGAAUUAUUGGGCGUAAAGAGCGCGUAGGCGGCAUGGCAAGUCCGAUGUGAAAUCCCAGAGCUCAACUUUGGAACUGCGUCGGAAACUGCCAGGCUAGAGUGCGGGAGAGGAGAGUGGAAUUCCCAGUGUAGAGGUGAAAUUCGUAGAUAUUGGGAGGAACACCGGUGGCGAAGGCGGCUCUCUGGACCGCAACUGACGCUGAGGCGCGAAAGCUAGGGGAGCAAACGGGAUUAGAUACCCCGGUAGUCCUAGCCGUAAACGAUGGGCACUAGGUGUUGGAGGUAUUGACCCCUUCAGUGUCGUAGCUAACGCAUUAAGUGCCCCGCCUGGGGAGUACGGUCGCAAGACUAAACUCAAAGGGAAUUGACGGGGGCCCGCACAAGCGGUGGAGCAUGUGGUUUAAUUCGACGCAACGCGAAGAACCUUACCUGGGUUUGACAUCCCCUGACAACAGCAGAGAUGCUGUCCCUUCGG